rnacentral:rRNA from 1 species
GACGAACGCUGGCGGCGUGCUUAACACAUGCAAGUCGAACGAUGAUCUCCCGCUUGCGGGGGUGAUUAGUGGCGAACGGGUGAGUAAUACGUGAGUAACCUGCCCUUGACUCUGGGAUAAGCCUGGUAAACCGGGUCUAAUACUGGAUACUACUUCCUGCCGCAUGGUGGGGGGUGGAAAGGGUUUUACUGGUUUUGGAUGGGCUCACGGCCUAUCAGCUUGUUGGUGGAGUAAUGGCUCACCAAGGCGACGACGGGUAGCCGGCCUGAGAGGGUGACCGGCCACACUGGGACUGAGACACGGCCCAGACUCCGACGGGAGGCAGCAGUGGGGAAUAUUGCACAAUGGGCGGAAGCCUGAUGCAGCGACGCCGCGUGAGGGAUGACGGCCUUCGGGUUGGAAACCUCUUUCAGCAGGGAAGAAGCCACAAGUGACGGUACCUGCAGAAGAAGCGCCGGCUAACUACGUG